CAAGCUCCCAUCCAGGAACAGUUUAGUUGGCUGGGCUUACCAAGGAAGCAUGGGGAGCAACGAUCAUGUGGCCAAGAGAGAGAAAGAGGAGUGAACCUGUACACGCUGUACUCUGAUCAACCAGCCAAUGAGGAAGGCCUGUGACGCCUGCCUGACCCCUAGGCCUGAGCUUGAGUACACAACUCCUCUGAUAUGGACCAAUGUGGUUGUGCGCAAAGCAAUUCUAAUCACAUUUAGGGCUGGUGUCAUAGACCCAUGAUUCAGGAAUACAUUGUAUCCAGUUAUGACUAGAGGCGACUUUGUGCAGGUUUCCUUGACCAAGAAAGCCACCCUCAAACCCAAGCUCCAACUGGGGGUACACAGACACCGACACUUCCCAGCAACCCUUGCUGUGUGUCCUAUGGGUUGCCCAAUGUGCUCCGAGUGGUCACCAAGCAGGGUGACAACAAAGGAAAACAGUUCUACACCUGUAAAAAUGACAGGUAAAUUAGCAAGUAAAUAUUGCAACUAUUUAUUUUGGUUUGAAGAAGCAGUUAUAGAGAAGUCCAUUUGAAGGGAAAUGUGUAGUUUGGGGCAGAGAUUAAACUGAGUUUAAAUGUAUUUGGCUAAGUUGUUUGAAAACUUCCGACUUCAACUGUAUAUAUGUGUGUGUGUGUGUGUGUGUGUGUGUGUGUGUGUGUGUGUGUGUGUGUGUGUGUGUGUGUCUGUGUGUGUGUGUGUGUGUGUGUGUGUGUUUCCUGAUCUUUAUUAUGUCUUUCAGAUAUAGGAUAGACACUUCAAAACAAACUUCCUUUUGAUUUUUUGGGGAGAACUCUGUUGUUCCAUGUAGUGAAUCUGUUCAUCAAUGCAUAUUUUUGAUACUUCAAGGGGUGUUAAAAUUCAAAAUUGCAUCGCAAAAUGAUCCUAGGUUUGACGUUCUUAAAACAAUUCCAUACAGCUUAGUAGAACCCUGCUGCAACUUGGCCAUCCUGACCAAUCACGAUCUUCGCUAAUGUCAGGAAAAGUAACACAAUAUUAAAUGUGCAAUUCUUAUCUAAAGAUCGAAGUUGGAUCUGGGAAUAGACAAAUAUCACAAAAUGUUUUCUAUUUCCACAUUUAGUUCUGUAAAGCAAAGAGAAGGCUUCCAAUUUAAUGAAGAUAUUUCUAACUUCGAUCAGCACACUACCUAAGUACAUCAAUCGUUUGGAUACCGAUGCCCAGCUCAAUAGUAAUUUAAGCAGCUGGUUGCACAAUAUGCAUAUGCAUUGUAUUGCCUACAGGGUUUUGGUUGUGCCAAUGGUAACAGCAUCUAUCUAAUACAUCUCCUAAUGCAUUAUUCCUAUUAUUGAAGUCCGUUUUAUUCAUUAGUUUUUCAAACAUGAAGGUGAUAUCCAAAGCUAGAGUACAGAAAACACGCACCUUGUGUUGGCAGUUGUCGUUCAACCACUGUGUGAAAAUGUUGAUAGAUUUGUUGGUUGUCAGGUCUUCUGCAGUGAAGCCCAUGUUCUCAGCAAACACUUACGCUGUGUUGAACAUAAGUGAUGGUUUGGUUGAUUUAUUUGUUGUUGAUUUAGGGUCACUGAAACUCAAUAUAUGCCAAUACAAUGUGCCACUAACUAAAAGCUGCAUUUGAUAGUAUUGUUAGCCUUAUGAGGUUAAUGAAUGUUAAAGGUCCAAUAAAGACAUUUUUAUCUCAAUAACAAAUCAUUUCUGGGACACAAUUAAGUACUUUACUGUGAUUGUUUUCAAUUUAAAUGAUCCAAAAAAACUAAAAUAGCGUCUGGACUGUCUGGCCGUGGUCUGCGUGGGGAAGGGGAAACUGAUAAUUAGCUGUUAUUGGCAGAGAAGUUUGGAAAUCUCUUUCUUAUUGUUCUAUUAACAAAUGUAUUGCAUCGUGAUGUCACCAUGGAAGGCCAAAACUCCAUCCCACCAUAACACUAAAAGGGAAUUAUCAUCAUUUUCACAAUUUCACAGUAUUAUUCAAACCUCAUAGUGUGGCAAUAUAUAUAAAACAUAUGAAAAUCACGUUUUGGACUGCACUGGGCCUUUAAAAGAUAGGUUGGUUAAAAAUCAGAUGAGUCUGUCUCCAAAGCAAAAGAAAAGAGUGGUAUGUGAUUGAGCCCCGCAAUUCAGGGCGUUCCUGCAUGAAUGCACCACAUCUUCAUGUUUGUGUGACACUUUUGAUAUUCUGAAUGUCCACUGAUUGUCUAUGCAAUUUUAAAAUUUGGGUCAAAAGGGAAAUUAAAGUAUUAUCUGAGUUUUUACCGCCUCCUGUGUACUGGAGUCCUCCUUGCUAGUUAGCUACUUACAGUCAGUGAAUCAGUGAAUCGCACACACAGUCAGUGAAUCCAAAACCACUCCCUCGCCCCUACCAACUCGCUCAGAGCACCCUCCGUUUUCCAUAGCCACAGGAAGUAGGGGUGCUUGAAUAAAAAAUGUAUUAAAGUCUCCACAGAAGUAG
rnacentral:lncRNA from 8 species